CCUACGGGUGGCAGCAGUGAGGAAUAUUGGUCAAUGGACGCAAGUCUGAACCAGCCAAGUAGCGUGAAGGAUGACUGCCCUAUGGGUUGUAAACUUCUUUUAUGUGGGGAUAAAAUGUUCCACGUGUGGGUUUUUGUAUGUACCAUAUGAAUAAGGAUCGGCUAAUUCCGUGCCAGCAGCCGCGGUAAUACGGAGGGUCCGAGCGUUCUCCGGAUUUAUUGGGUUUAAAGGGAGCGCAGGUGGAUGGUUAAGUGAGUUGUGAAAUUUUGCGGCUCAACCGUCGAAGUGCAGUGGAAACUGGGAGUCUUGAGUGCAGCAGAGGUGGGCGGAAUUCGUGGUGUAGCGGUGAAAUGCUUAGAUAUCACGAAGAACUCCGAUUGCGAAGGCAGCUCACUGGACUGCAACUGACACUGAGGCUCGAAAGUGUGGGUAUCAAACAGGAUUAGAUACCCUGGUAGUC
rnacentral:rRNA from 1 species